UUGAAAGGGAAACGAUUGAAGUCAGUCGUACCGACGAGAAAUCAGCUUUUCGAAUGUGCAUUUGUGGGCGUAUGAGAUCUUCAUUGUCUGCAAUAUGUAUGUUUCUUUGGUGUACUUUUUCGUAUGGUAGGUCAACGUCGGUUUUGGUCGCCAUAAAAUGAUCGGAGGAAUGUAGCUUCGGCCUCGGUUGAAGUGUUAUAGCCUUUGGUAAAUGUGGUGAUUAAGACCGAGGAUUGCAACGAAUACCUUUUAGGCUAUCCGUCUGACCUCUGAAAGUUACUUAGGUGCCGAAAGCUUGCUUACGGUCAUUUAAGUUGACGGUCAAUAGGUUAGAACGUGAUUACAUUCGUUAAGGAUGUUGACGUA
rnacentral:rRNA from 1 species